CUACGGGAUGCUGCAGUCGAGAAUCUUCCGCAAUGGGCGCAAGCCUGACGGAACAAUGCCGCGUGAGUGAUGAAGGCCUUCGGGUUGUAAAACUCUGUCAGAGGGGACGAAAUUUGACGGUACCCUCAGAGGAAGCCACGGCUAACUACGUGCCAGCAGCCGCGGUAAUACGUAGGUGGCGAGCGUUAUUCGGAUUUACUGGGCGUAAAGGGUUCGUAGGGGGUUUGCCAAGUCUGAUGUGAAAUUCCGCGGCUCAACCGCGGACGUGCAUUGGAUACUGUCGAACUAGAGUUCCUGAUGGGAAAGCGGAAUUCCAGGUGUAGCGGUGGAAUGCGUAGAUAUCUGGAAGAACACCGGUGGCGAAGGCGGCUUUCUGGCAGGAUACUGACCCUCAUGGACGAAAGCGUGGGUAGCGAACAGGAUUAGAUACCCCGGUAGUC
rnacentral:rRNA from 1 species